rnacentral:rRNA from 1 species
UACGUAGGUGACAAGCGUUGUCCGGAUUUACUGGGCGUAAAGAGCGCGCAGGCGGUCGUUCAAGUCGAGUGUGAAAGCCCCGGGCUUAACCUGGGAAUGGCAUUGGAAACUGGCGGGCUUGAGUGUGGCAGAGGGGGGUGGAAUUCCACGUGUAGCAGUGAAAUGCGUAGAGAUGUGGAGGAACACCGAUGGCGAAGGCAGCCCCCUGGGCCAACACUGACGCUCAGGCACGAAAGCGUGGGGAGCAAACAGG